AUUACCAGGAGUGCAUUUUACAUAUAUACUUCUGUUACGCUGUGUAAAUGCAUUUUCUGGUAAGUA
rnacentral:pre_miRNA from 1 species